AACGAACGCUGGCGGCAGGCCUAACACAUGCAAGUCGAACGCCGUAGCAAUACGGAGUGGCAGACGGGUGAGUAACGCGUGGGAACAUACCCUCCGGUUCGGAAUAACUCAGGGAAACUUGAGCUAAUACCGGAUACGUCCAAGGUUUUAAUCGGCCUUGGAGAAAGAUUUAUCGCUGGAGGAUUGGCCCGCGUCUGAUUAGCUUGUUGGUGAGGUAAUGGCUCACCAAGGCGACGAUCAGUAGCUGGUCUGAGAGGAUGAUCAGCCACAUUGGGACUGAGACACGGCCCAAACUCCUACGGGAGGCAGCAGUGGGGAAUAUUGGACAAUGGGCGAAAGCCUGAUCCAGCCAUGCCGCGUGAGUGAUGAAGGCCUUAGGGUUGUAAAGCUCUUUUACCCCGGGAAGAUAAUGACGGUACCGGGAGAAUAAGCCCCGGCUAACUUCGUGCCAGCCGCCGCCGUAA
rnacentral:rRNA from 1 species